AAAGGCCAAUCAAACCGGGAGAUAGCUGGUUCUCCCCGAAAGCUAUUUAGGUAGCGCCUCGUGAACUCAUCUUCGGGGGUAGAGCACUGUUUCGGCUAGGGGGUCAUCCCGACUUACCAAACCGAUGCAAACUCCGAAUACCGAAGAAUGUUAUCACGGGAGACACACGGCGGGUGCUAACGUCCGUCGUGAAGAGGGAAACAACCCAGACCGCCAGCUAAGGUCCCAAAGUCAUGGUUAAGUGGGAAACGAUGUGGGAAGGCACAGACAGCCAGGAUGUUGGCUUAGAAGCAGCCAUCAUUUAAAGAAAGCGUAAUAGCUCACUGGUCGAGUCGGCCUGCGCGGAAGAUGUAACGGGGCUAAACCAUGCACCGAAGCUGCGGCAGCGAACGUAUCACUUAAAACGCUUAACGUGACGGCAAAGCCGGCAUGUUCAAGCCA
rnacentral:rRNA from 1 species